AGGGGCGGGCGCCGCCACUGCCACUCUCCUUGAGGCUGCGGGAAGGUCCCCGGGCGGAGCGGAGUCCCCACCUGCCCCGGGGUGGGUGCCCAGCCCGGCCCGGCCUCCCGAGGCCGUCCUUCGGCUGCGUUCCAUGGCGUUGGUUUGCACUCAUCGCCCUCUGAGGCGUGAAGGGCGGUGCUCUCCGUUUUAUUUUAUUUUUGAGGGGGGUCCUACACAGCGUGCAGAGCCCCGGACCGCCCUGCGGGCUGUGAGGGGACGCCAGGAGCCCGGGCUCGGUGUGCUGCCGGCCUGCCGCGUCCGUGGGGCUCCGCGUCGGGGUCGUGCUGUGGUGAUUUCCCAGAGACCUGCUCUGGUCUUUCAGUUGAGGUGAAAAAGAAAAAAGAAAAAAAUUGGCUGCCCUUAAGUUGUGACCUUUUCCCUACGCACAGGCAGAGAUUAACACUGGCGUCCCUUUGAUCCGCGCUCGGGCACUCCGAAUUUACUUCCUAUAAAUCACAUCGUUGUGGAGUGUUUCCAGCCAAUUAAUGACGAAGAUUGAGCUCUCCGUCCUUUGGAGGUUUCUGUUUGUUUUUCCCCACAAUUGUGUCUGCGCUGUUCCUACUCUCGCAGCCUUAGAGCACUGACUCCAGAGCCAUUUCUUAGCAUAAUCUGUUCAGGAGAUUGCUCUGCGUCCUCUCUGGCUGAUGUUUUCCCCCGAUCCAGCUGAUGUGCUCCCACAGCCGCUGCUCUAGAAGAUGGCUUUGAAUUUCAUGAUGUUGCAAUCGGAAAGCCUUGAACACUUCAGGAUCAGUUCUAAUAUUUUCCUGUUGAUACUCAGUAUGGCUCUCCACAACAGGCUGAGGGAAAAAAGCCCAAGCUGCUCAUUUGCCCUGACAAGUCUUCACGUGUUUUUGAUGAUUGGCUGUGCUCUGUGCUUGACUUCAGCAGCAGCUAAUAAGUAACUCCUGAUCCAGCAAAACUUCCAAAGGUUGACAGAUAUCACUUGAGCUCCCAUUUCAGAGGUGGCUGCCCUGGAAUGGACCAAUGCUUGCAUACCCACUCUUCUCCCAAAAAACGUAUCCUCAAAGCAGCUAAACCUGAGUUUGAUAUGGAUAUCAGUUCAAAAUCAAAGUGUACUUUGUAGAUUCUGACUAUAGACUUAUGGACUUAGUGCAAGAUAUUCAAGGCAAUCAGAUAUUCGGACUGAAAUCUAUCUGGAAUAAAACUGAUGCUGAUCAGGAAUGGCCGCAAGGCGAUCAGGGAACUAAAUGCUUCACAACACCAUCUGCAAUCGUGCCCAUCUACAUCUAGCAUCACUGGAAUGUAUGUAUAUGCUUACAGACUGAGAAACUCCUUGUUUCAGUGAGGGCCAGAAAUGCUGACUUACUUGCUAAAGUGAAGGUGACUCAUAACAUUUACACAGAAUAAGACAUGAAAGAGUUCAAUUAAACAAUGUGGGAUUCAUUUUUUAAUUCCUCAGACAGCCCUAUGGUACUGAGUCACGAGCUCCUGCGUACACUUCAGCUUCCACAGUUUUAUAGAAUCCUUUUCCACCAAAAGGGAAAGUUCAUCUACCCUGGUUCAGAAACCACGAGCUUUUAAAUAAGCCUUUUGUUACAGGUUUGAGCUGAAAAAAAAAAUGGCUUUAGUGAGGGUCUACCUAUUUUUUUAAUGUUUUUUAAGACUCUCAUGCUGGUUUUGUACACUUAGAAACUUUCCAUGUACUUGCAGUAAGGAGUAAUCUACAAAAUGGUUCAACUUCAAGAAAACUGCUCACCUUCAUAAACUUUCUAUCAAAACCAAAGUAGUACUCUUGGGAUCUUCUUGACUUUUAUAUGCUCAGAUGGUUGAAAGCAUUUUGUCAUCCUAGGAACAUCCAGGACCACAUGACUGGUAGUAAAGAAAAAUAAAGAAAAUAAUUAAAAGACA